rnacentral:tRNA from 1 species
GCCAAGGUAGUAUAUUUAGUAUGGCCGUUUUUCGUGCGGCGGGUAACUUUGGGUAGUUUCUUGGUU